rnacentral:rRNA from 2 species
UAAUGCAAGUCGAGCGGACUUUAAAAGCUUGCUUUUAAAGUUAGCGGCGGACGGGUGAGUAACACGUGGGCAACCUGCCUGUAAGACUGGGAUAACUUCGGGAAACCGGAGCUAAUACCGGAUAAUCCUUUUCCUCUCAUGAGGAAAAGCUGAAAGACGGCAUCUCGCUGUCACUUACAGAUGGGCCCGCGGCGCAUUAGCUAGUUGGUGAGGUAACGGCUCACCAAGGCAACGAUGCGUAGCCAACCUGAGAGGGUGAUCGGCCACACUGGGACUGAAACACGGCCCAAACUCCUACGGGAGGCAGCAGUAGGGAAUCUUCCGCAAUGGGACAAAAGUCUGACGGAGCAACGCCGCGUGAGUGAUGAAGGUUUUCGGAUCGUAAAGCUCUGUUGUUAGGGAAGAACAAGUACAAGAGUAACUGCUUGUACCUUGACGGUACCUAACCAGAAAGCCACGGCUAACUACGUGCCAGCAGCCGCGGUAAUACGUAGGUGGCAAGCGUUGUCCGGAAUUAUUGGGCGUAAAGCGCGCGCAGGCGGUCCUUUAAGUCUGAUGUGAAAGCCCACGGCUCAACCGUGGAAGGGUCAUUGGAAACUGGGGGACUUGAGUGCAGAAGAGAGAGUGGAAUUCCACGUGUAGCGGUGAAAUGCGUAGAGAUGUGGAGGAACACCAGUGGCGAAGGCGACUCUUUGGUCUGUAACUGACGCUGAGCCGAAGCUGGACAACAGAUAAUACUGUAGUCAGCGUAACGAUGAUGC